rnacentral:rRNA from 1 species
GACGAACGCUGGCGGCGUGCCUAAUACAUGCAAGUCGAACGAGUGGCGGACGGGUGAGUAACACGUGGGAACCUACCCAUCAGAGGGGGAUAACUACUCGAAAGAGUGGCUAAUACCGCAUACUAUUUGUGCGGCAGUUCUGGGAUUAGCUAGUUGGGGGGGUAAAGGCUCACCAAGGCAACGAUCCGUAGCUGGUUUGAGAGGAUGACCAGCCACACUGGGACUGAGACACGGCCCAGACUCCUACGGGAGGCAGCAGUGGGGAAUUUUGGACAAUGGGGGAAACCCUGAUCCAGCCAUCCCGCGUGUAUGAGAAGGCCUUCGGGUUGUAAAGUACUUUUGGCAGAGAAGCGGUAUCUGCAGAAUAAGCACCGGCUAACUACGUGCCAGCAGCCGCGGUAAUAC